rnacentral:lncRNA from 1 species
AUUAUGAAUAAAUUUAAAUAGAGAAUGACUUCAUAAGUACUGAUUAAUUUUCUUUUGAUUCAACUAUUUUCUGCAAGGCACAUUUUGGAAUCACAUAAGUUCACAUCCUCCUAUUCAAUCCAACAGACAAAGGGAUAGUUCUAGCAUACAUAAAUCCAGCUGAUAAAGGCGCAUCAGAGGUAAAAUGCCCAAAGUUUGUCAUUAUUCUUAUGCUUAUGUCAUAAACUUCUUGUUGAUAAAUGUUCUCUAGCCACACAAAAGACGGUUGACGGUCCCAUUGACCCAAACUGAAUACAUCCUCCUCUACGUAAUAAAUCAAGUACUCAAACUUCAUUGUCUCUCAGAAGAAAAUAAUGUUUUUACUCAAUAGAUUACUUUGAACAAUUGUAAAAGAGCUCAUAUGUGUUUAAUAGGCUAUAAAAAUGUAUUUUUAACAAAUUUUGCUUCCUGUAAAAGUUUUACUGAGACACUUUGAAGAGCUGGAGUUCAAGCUGAAUCAGUUUUAUAUGAAGGCAACACCUACACAAGUGUUCCUUCAGGUACCUGGUUGUUCCAUAUGCGUUUGUUAUUCCCUUUGUGUCU